UGAGGGAAUAUUUGGGGUCAAUGGGCGAGAGCCUGAACCAGCCAAGUAGCGUGCAGGAUGACGGCCCUAUGGGUUGUAAACUGCUUUUAUAAGGGAAUAAAGUGGGUCACGUGUGACUUUUUGCAUGUACCUUAUGAAUAAGGACCGGCUAAUUCCGUGCCAGCAGCCGCGGUAAUACGGAAGGUCCGGGCGUUAUCCGGAUUUAUUGGGUUUAAAGGGUGCGCAGGCGGCGCGCCAAGUCAGCGGUCAAAGUUCCGGGCUCAACCCGGUGUCGCCGUUGAAACUGGCGUGCUCGAGUGCGUGCGAGGAAGGCGGAAUGCGUUGUGUAGCGGUGAAAUGCGUAGAUAUUAGGA
rnacentral:rRNA from 1 species